rnacentral:lncRNA from 1 species
GCUGAACGCAUUCCUUUUUGUAACUAUCAUGGGCCAACAUGGCCACAACUCAUAAUGUACAAGCGUAAGUGGGAAAAUACUGUAUCACAUAAAUAUUUUUUUUCUUAAAACAUAAAUACAUAUGGGCCAUCAAGGCCUCUGACAUACUAUACAAAAUGAACCUCUGUCUACAAAACCUCUAAGAUUAUUUGACAUCAAAUGGGAUAGGGUACCGGCGUACCCAUAAGUCUGUAGAAAAACUCUGACACGAUGACUCAUAGACUCGGCUGCACUCCGAAUGAGGUGGAGUCUUACUGAUCCUUCGCUGAAUGCGAAUUUCAUCUACUAUGAGGGCUCGUCAAACUGAUUCUACCCGUCUAUCAGGACCUGCAGCACGACAUGCAGUGUCCACAAAUAAAACGGACGUCAGUACGAAUAAUGUACUGAGUAUGUAAGGCAGGAAAGCAUAAGUAAGAACAGUAAUGUAACCAGGGAUAGAGAAUAUACAACCUGUGACAUCUGGGUACCUCUGAGGACUACUGACAUGAAAUACAUGAUACAUACAUAUAUAUACAUAAACUUUUAAAACAUACGCCUUUAUGGGCAUCACCAUCAUCAUAUCGUACCCGGCCGUAAUAGGCUCAGUAAAAUGUACCCGGCCAUCAUAGGGCUCAGUAGAAUCAUACCCGGCCAUCAUAGGUGUCGUACCCGGCCAACUAUAGCGCGGCUCGGUAGAGUAAAAUAGAUACAUAUAUAUGAUGCAUGCUGGACUCAUUGGAAUCACAUUUUGAACCUUUCGGAGUGACGUAAGGUCGGUAUCCUUCGUACACGUUAUUAGGAUUAACUCUUCAUCAAGAAUCUUAUAAGAAUCAGAAACUACCAACAACAUUGAUAAUAUAAGAAUAAAAGAAGUAACAUCAAUAUCAGUCGUUUUAUAAGAAGGGCAGCAAUGUAAGUACUGCUAGCUUCUAAGAGUAGAGUAUCUUUGGGAGCUCGUUCAUUACAUUAUGUACAAUCGGAGUCGUGCAAAAGAAUGAAGGGGAUAGCUUCACAUACCUGAGCCGAUUCUCUGGACAAUCCCGCAAACACACGACGAUUGAGACAAAAUAUGUGACGGCAAGAACAACGACAAAGGAAGGCGACCC